rnacentral:rRNA from 1 species
UACGGAGGGGGCAAGCGUUGUUCGGAAUCAUUGGGCGUAAAGGGCGCGUAGGCGGCCGACCAAGUCGGGUGUGAAAUCCCUCGGCUCAACCGAGGAACUGCAUUCGAUACUGGUUGGCUAGAGUCCGGGAGAGGAUGGUGGAAUUCCCAGUGUAGCGGUGAAAUGCGUAGAUAUUGGGAAGAACACCGGUGGCGAAGGCGGCCAUCUGGACCGGCACUGACGCUGAGGCGCGAAAGCCAGGGGAGCGAACGGG